rnacentral:rRNA from 1 species
AAAUUGAAGAGUUUGAUCAUGGCUCAGAUUGAACGCUGGCGGCAGGCUUAACACAUGCAAGUCGAACGGUAACAGGAAGCAG